rnacentral:rRNA from 1 species
CAUAGCCGCGGGAAUACGUAGGUGGCAAGCGUUGUCCGGAAUUAUUGGGCGUAAAGGGCUCGCAGGCGGUUUCUUAAGUCUGAUGUGAAAGCCCCCGGCUCAACCGGGGAGGGUCAUUGGAAACUGGGAAACUUGAGUGCAGAAGAGGAGAGUGGAAUUCCACGUGUAGCGGUGAAAUGCGUAGAGAUGUGGAGGAACACCAGUGGCGAAGGCGACUCUCUGGUCUGUAACUGACGCUGAGGAGCGAAAGCGUGGGGAGCGAACAGGAUUAGAUACCCCUGUAGUCCCUGUCUCUUAUACA